AACGAACGCUGGCGGCAUGCCUAACACAUGCAAGUCGAACGAGACCUUCGGGUCUAGUGGCGCACGGGUGCGUAACGCGUGGGAAUCUGCCCUUAGGUUCGGAAUAACAGUUAGAAAUGA
rnacentral:rRNA from 1 species